UGCUCUGGUCCCGAGCAUGCUAUUAUCUUUCAUACUCCUUACACAUGCAAGCAUCCCCGCCCCAGUGCCCAUACCCUAUGCCUGCAACCCCAGACAUAAAACAGGAAUCAGGCACGCCUCGAGCAGCCCAUAACACCUAGCCUUUGCCACCACCCCACGGAAUUCAGCAGUGAUAAACCUUGAGCAAUGAGCCCCACUCGACUCAGCCAAAUUGAACCUCCAAGCCGGUAAACCUCGUGCCAGCCACCGCGGUUACACGACUGUGGGCUAAAGAUAAUAAUCUUCGGCGUAAAGCGCAGAUCAAAAGCAAAUUUAUCCUAGGACUAAAACCUCCGCCUCGCGGUUAAAUGCACACACAUGAGAGAGUCUCAACCAAGUCCUAACAAACACUACUUCCCCCUGCGAAAGCUAGGCUAUAAACUAGGAUUAGAUACCCUACUAUACCCAGCCCUAAACUAGACAUAAAAUAAUACACCCUGUCCGCCAGAGUACUACAAACAACAGUUCAAAACUCAAAAGACUUGACGGUGCCCCACACCGACCUAGAGGAGCCCGUCCCAUAAUCGAUGCCCCGCGCUAUACCUAACCCCCCCUAGCACAAUACCGCCUGUAUACCUCCGUCGCCAGUUCACCUAAUGAUAGAAAACUAGUGAAUACAAGCGCUCCCCGCUAACACGUCAGGUCAAGGUGCAGCAAAAGGGGGGGGCCACGAUUGGCUACAUUUUCUAUACUAGAAAACACCGUAAGGACUAUGAAACCCCCCCUGAAAGUUGGAUUUAGCAGUAAACACGAACAAGUUACGCCCUGUUGAAACACGCUCUGGGGUGCGU
rnacentral:ncRNA from 1 species